AGAGAUCAUCUUUGGAGUGCUUGGCGAGCCCUGAUCCUUGGAAAGGGGAAAACCACAGGAAAAAUGUUAUUGAAAUAAAGCUCAGUCAUGAGGAAGUAUUGGAUUCUCUUGGCGUGUCCUGUUUAAAGCUAGAUCCAAGGAUCUAAGUACCUUCCAUGACUCAGCUGAGUCAUCCAAAGGCCUUACUGUGCAGUACUGAGGUGAUACUCAUGGGCAUAUGCCCCCAGAAGAAAGACACUCAUUAUGAAAUACCUAACUUCAAAACCACAAGCUGUCUGAAUUUUGGUUUCUUUUUCCUUUUAAUAAACUGCCACAACAUUUAA